rnacentral:rRNA from 1 species
AUUGAACGCUGGCGGCGUGCUUAACACAUGCAAGUCGAUCGGUAACGCGGGGGCAACCCUGGCGACGAGAGGCGGACGGGUGAGGAACGCUUGGGAAUCUGCCUAUCAGCGGGGGACAACACGGGGAAACUCGUGCUAAUACCGCAUACGCUCUACGGAGGAAAGCCGGGGACCGCAAGGCCUGGCACUGAUAGAUGAGCCCAAGCCGGAUUAGCUAGUUGGCGGGGUAACGGCCCACCAAGGCGACGAUCCGUAGCUGGUCUGAGAGGACGAUCAGCCACCCUGGGACUGAGACACGGCCCAGACUCCUACGGGAGGAAGCAGUGGGGAAUAUUGGACAAUGGGGGAAACCCUGAUCCAGCGACGCCGCGUGGGUGAAGAAGGCCUGCGGGUUGUAAAGCCCUUUCGGUAGGGACGAAAGCUCUCGACCUAACACGUCGGGAGGUUGACUUAACCUACAAAAGAAGCACCGGCUAACUCUGUGCCAGCCGCCGCCGUAAGAC